rnacentral:rRNA from 1 species
UACGUAGGGCGCAAGCGUUGUCCGGAAUUAUUGGGCGUAAAGAGCUCGUAGGCGGUUUGUUGCGUCGGCCGUGAAAACCUGCAGCUUAACUGUGGGCCUGCGGCCGAUACGGGCAGACUUGAGUUCGGUAGGGGAGACUGGAAUUCCUGGUGUAGCGGUGAAGUGCGCAGAUAUCAGGAGGAACACCGGUGGCGAAGGCGGGUCUCUGGGCCGAUACUGACGCUGAGGAGCGAAAGCGUGGGGAGCGAACAGG